UUGUCUGGUUACAACUACAUGUCUGUUCGUCUACCCAUUGUAAAGCGCUGCAGAAUUUGAUGGUGCUAUAUAAAUAACAUAAUAAUAAUAAUAAUAAUAAUAAUAUAUUUUUUUAAUUGGGGUAGCCCACAAAAUAUUAGGACAUAUAAAAAAGACAACUCUGUUUCGCAGAGUAGCUGUUGACAUUAUAGUUGCACAGGCGCUUUGACUCUAGAACCUUGGACAUCCCCGUGACGGCGACUUUGCAUUCAGAUGUCAUCCAUAUCAACUUUCGAUGCCAGUUUCUGCGCCUACCAUGGUGACCACGGGUAACGGGGAAUCAGUGUUCCAUUCCGUACAGGGACCCUGAGAAACGGCUACCACAUGCAAGAAAGGCAGCAGGCGCGCAAAUUACCCACUCCCGACGCGUGAAAGUAGUGACGACAAAUAUCAAUACAGGACUCUUUAGAAGCCCUGUAAUUGUAAUGAGUCCACUUGAAAUCCUUUAACUCUGAUCAAUUGGAGGGAAGUCCUUUGCAGAAGUCGCAGGGUGCCAA